GACGAACGCUGGCGGCGUGCUUAACACAUGCAAGUCGAGCGGAAAGGCCCUUCGGGGUACUCGAGCGGCGAACGGGUGAGUAACACGUGAGUAACCUGCCCCAGACUUUGGGAUAACCCUCGGAAACGGGGGCUAAUACCGGAUACGACACAGCUUCGCAUGGGGUCUGUGUGGAAAGUUUUUCGGUUUGGGAUGGGCUCGCGGCCUAUCAGCUUGUUGGUGGGGCGAUGGCCUACCAAGGCGACGACGGGUAGCCGGCCUGAGAGGGCGACCGGCCACACUGGGACUGAGACACGGCCCAGACUCCUACGGGAGGCAGCAGUGGGGAAUAUUGCACAAUGGGCGGAAGCCUGAUGCAGCGACGCCGCGUGAGGGAUGACGGCCUUCGGGUUGUAAACCUCUUUCAGCAGGGACGAAGCGUAAGUGACGGUACCUGCAGAAGAAGCGCCGGCCAACUACGUG
rnacentral:rRNA from 1 species